UACAGAGGUCCCAAGCGUUGUUCGGAUUCACUGGGCGUAAAGGGUGCGUAGGCGGUUGAGUAAGUCUGGCGUGAAAUCUCCGAGCCUAACUCGGAAACUGCGUUGGAUACUAUUUAGCUAGAGGAGUGGAGGGGAGACUGGAAUACUUGGUGUAGCAGUGAAAUGCGUAGAUAUCAAGUGGAACACCAGUGGCGAAGGCGAGUCUCUGGACACAUCCUGACGCUGAGGCACGAAAGCCAGGGGAGCAAACGGG
rnacentral:rRNA from 1 species